CCACACCUCUCACUCCAUAACCAAAGUUCUUGUAAAGACGAAGACUAUAUGAUUUCUUCUGAAAUGAUACUAGCUAGAACUUAGGGUCAUCAAUCCAUUUUUUAAAAAUGAAAAUUUUUAAAGCUUCUUGUUUACUCCUUGUUUUCGUUGAUUAGUUUUUCUCAACCAUUAUGCUUAAUGAAAUAGGAAUAGGAGUAUAAAAAAUGUAAUUUAAGAAUUGAUCUUGAUGCAUCAUCCCUAUAUAAUAUAACAAAUAUUCAGAAAAAGUACUAUAGAUGCCCCCAUAUUAGGCUUUUAGCAUUUUACCCCUUAAAAAGUUGCAAAUUAAUCCCUAUACAUUAGAUCAAAAAGCAAAUAGUCCUUUUUAUUAAAAAUUUCAUUUAAUUCUACUCUUAAAAACUGG
rnacentral:lncRNA from 1 species